rnacentral:lncRNA from 1 species
UGCAGUGUAUACCACAGGUAUACAAGCUCUGUAUCUUCACGUUUUACUGUAUAUACACUGUAUAUCAGUGUAUAAUUCGUAUACUUGCUUCCAGCGUUGGUAGGCACCAAGUAUACGCAUGUACCAACCACUUUUUACCUGUAAGUUUCGUGUAUAUGGCGUAUAUCAGUGUAUACCAGUAGCCAGUUUGCACAUUGAUCCAUUCUUUGGACUCGAAAGAAUGGGCUUUGCACGAAGGGAUGAAAGGAUCAGAGUCUGUGAACUUGGUGAAGGAGGUUCAUGCAUAGAAGGAGACAAAGAUUAGCAUAUGAAAGAGUCACCCGACUAAAAAUGUAACUAAAUCAUCCAAACAAAUUAUACACUUCAUGACCAAACAAACAACUUCAAUAAUAAGGAUUGAAUUCCAAACCCAUCAACAUCGCCACAUGAUUGGUUUUCGCAAAUAACAACAUUUCAAAAACUCCUUGGUCAUUUAACCAAAUAAAUAGGUUUGGUUGGUUAUCAUCAAAUAAGAAUGAGGAGCAUGACAUCAAAAGACAGCCUUUUGGACACAUUUAGGGCAUUAUGGACUUAAAGCCAUACCCUUUGGCUUGACUAAAACCUUUACCACAUUUCAAUCCCUUAUUAAUCAUGCGUUUAAGACUUAAUCGCAGAAGUUUGUCCUAAUAUUUUUUCAUGAUACUAGUUUACAGCGCAUGAGUGAAUGAUCAUAUAAGACACCUUAGUAAUGUUCUUGAAAUUUUGAAGUAGAAACAGUUAUUUGCAAAGUUGUGUAUGCUAUCUUUUACUUAUCCUAAAGUGGAACACUUAGGGCAUGUUACCACCUGGGAAGACAACACAAACUCUACUUUAACUAUGUCAAUUUCGCGCACACAAAAAAAAUGAAGUUCAAAAUAAUAACAAGAUAUGAGACACUUUACAUUGUGCACAAAAUAAUCACAUUUUUUACCCUUAAGUCACAACUUAAAAGAUGGUAAUCCAAUGCUCCAAAGUGCAGCAACCCACGAUAAAGAAAAUAAGUCGAUAUCCACACAAUCAUACUAAGAAAGUGUAGUUUCUCAAAGCUAACAAAAAAAAGAACCCACUAAAAACUUUAAUAUUGUUAAUAAGAAAUAUCGAAUAGCCAAUAUUCCAAGGUAAACAUCUGUUUGAUUCAACAUGGGCAAAUUUAGACAAAACAUCACUGAAAACUCAAGCAAUAUAUUCACAGAAGGUUCAUUUUUCAAUACGAAACUCUAUUAUUAGGAUAAACUUAACCUACUGCAUACAGGAACUUUCAUUGUUGCAAAGAAAACACAUAUAAAAAAUUAAGAUAUAUCAAGAGUUGUGGCUCGUGUAGGCAGAGAUAGAGGUACCCCAAAAAUAUUUACACAUCUUAAAGACCGAGGCUACAACGAUAAGUCAGUCAAAAUAUUGUCUUUUGUAGGAGCAAGAACCGAGACGAACGAGCUUAUCACGAUGAAGUUUUCACCACUGGAGUUUCACUCGAUUCCGCCGAAACUAAAAAUUAACGUCUUCGAAACUUGCGUGAUUUCAUUGGAAUCAAGUAUUUUUCGCUGUGAAUUUUUGGUUACGUGAGAUUAGAGGAAUGCUCCUCCAAAAUUUCCAAUUUUUCCCUAAAAUUUCUCAAAGAAAUCUCCUUUUCUUCUUCCCCUCAAUCUCUAUUUAUUGGGGAAGAUAUUGAUUUUUUCAUUUUUAAAAUAGAGAAACAUAUCUCUAAAAUUCGAAUUUAAAUUGACACCUUCAUAAAGUCAACAACGAUGGCUCUAGGUCUGUAAAAUUGCAGAGAUAAGAUAGAUAUAGAGGGUUUCUGUGAUUUAAGGAUCGUUAUCCGAUUGAAUUAUCGGGUCAGGUUGCUGGGGUUUAUUGGUGGCUGGGUGGGUUGGGUCGAUGGCCGAGGCUACCGGGUUGAAUGAAAUUAUUGUGGCUUGCCGUUGGAAUUGUUGGGGAUAUCGGGUGUUCACUGAAAUUGGGUUGUCGAUGUUCAGUUGUUGUUGUUGUUUUCUGUUUGUUAUCAUU